GCGAGCGGCUGACUGCCCGGAGAGGAAACGACAUUCGGAGCUGCGCUCCCGCCCAGGCCGGCCCUGACGCGGGCCUCGUCAGCCAGUAACAGGGAGCAGAGGUGGGAGUUAGCGAGGCGACCACGAAAACGGUGAAGGUCAGAACCGACAGCCUCCUCCGAGAAGGGCAGGAGCUGGGAGGAGGCGGCAGCGGCGGCGGCAGAAACAGCAGCGGCGGCGGCGGCGGCAGCUGGGAGGAGGUGGUGACGGUGGCAACGGCAGCGUCGGGGACGAUGGCGCGACUCGUGGCAGUGUGCAGGGACGGGGAGGAGGAGUUCCCCUUCGAGAGGAGGCAGAUUCCCCUCUACAUAGACGACACCCUGACGAUGGUGAUGGAAUUUCCUGAUAAUGUGUUAAAUCUCGAUGGACAUCAGAAUAAUGGUGCACAGCUAAAGCAGUUCAUUCAGCGACAUGGUAUGCUUAAGCAACAGGAUCUAAGUAUUGCCAUGGUGGUGACAUCACGCGAAGUCCUGAGUGCACUUUCUCAGCUUGUCCCAUGUGUUGGUUGUCGUCGCAGUGUGGAGCGCCUCUUUUCCCAGCUUGUAGAGUCUGGAAAUCCUGCUCUUGAACCCCUAACAGUAGGGCCCAAGGGAGUCCUGUCUGUAACUAGAAGCUGCAUGACUGAUGCAAAGAAGCUUUAUACAUUAUUUUAUGUACAUGGGUCCAAACUAAAUGACAUGAUAGAUGCUAUUCCAAAAAGUAAGAAGAAUAAGAGAUGUCAGUUGCACUCCUUAGAUACGCACAAGCCAAAACCUUUGGGAGGUUGUUGGAUGGAUGUAUGGGAACUAAUGUCGCAGGAAUGCAGGGAUGAAGUAGUUUUAAUUGACUCGAGUUGUCUUUUAGAAACACUAGAAACAUAUCUGCGAAAACACAGGUUUUGCACUGAUUGCAAAAAUAAAGUCCUCCGAGCAUACAAUAUCCUUAUUGGUGAACUUGACUGCAGCAAAGAAAAGGGCUACUGUGCUGCACUUUAUGAAGGCUUGCGGUGCUGUCCACAUGAACGACACAUACAUGUUUGCUGUGAAACAGACUUCAUUGCACAUCUUUUGGGUCGUGCUGAGCCAGAGUUCGCAGGAGGGCGAAGAGAAAGGCAUGCAAAGACAAUAGAUAUAGCUCAAGAAGAAGUUCUGACCUGCUUGGGAAUUCAUCUUUAUGAAAGACUGCAUCGAAUCUGGCAGAAACUACGGGCAGAAGAGCAGACAUGGCAGAUGCUUUUCUAUCUUGGUGUUGAUGCUUUACGCAAGAGUUUUGAGAUGACCGUGGAAAAAGUACAGGGUAUUAGCAGAUUGGAACAACUUUGUGAGGAAUUUUCAGAAGAGGAACGAGUAAGAGAACUCAAGCAAGAAAAGAAACGCCAAAAACGGAAGAAUAGACGAAAAAAUAAGUGUGUGUGUGAUAUUCCUACUCCCUUACAAACAGCAGAUGAAAAGGAAGUAAGCCAAGAGAAGGAAACAGACUUCAUAGAAAAUAGCAGCUGCAAAGCCUGUGGCAGCACUGAAGAUGGUAAUACUUGUGUAGAAGUAAUUGUUACCAAUGAAAAUACAUCAUGUACCUGUCCUAGCAGUGGCAAUCUUUUGGGGUCCCCUAAAAUAAAGAAAGGUAAGUGAAUAAUUUCUUUUUAAAAUGAACUCUUAACUCUAUUCUUUCUUACUGUUAAAUGUAAAAGCUUUUAGAGAUUGUGUGAGCUAGAAUUUUAAAACUGCUUCAUAGUUCCAAGAAUAUCAUAUAAUUUAGUCAGAUACUUAAUAUUUCCUUUUUCUUUAUGUUCUUUGACUUAUUUUUGACAAAAACGAAAAAUGGUAAAUUCCUAAUCAUAUUUUCAUUAUUUAAUUUACUUUCUACUUAAAAAAAAAAUCCUUCAUUGGAAAUGUUCUACUUUUAAUAAGCCAUUAAUUAUGAGAUUUUUCUGUGGUCCCCAAAGAGUUCACUCUUUGUCCUAAUAUACUUAUUGGUAUGUUAAUUGUAACUCUCACUUGAUUUAUUCUCAGGCUUAUCUCCACACUGUAAUGGUAGUGAUUGUGGAUAUUCAUCUAGCAUGGAAGGGAGUGAAACAGGUUCUCGGGAGGGUUCGGAUGUUGCCUGCACUGAAGGCAUUUGUAAUCAUGAUGAACACGGUAGGCUCACAUUAAGUUUCCCAGUUAUUUCUACUACAUGGCUGACUUAAGAACAUAAAUAAGAAGGAUUAUUGAUUUCUGCAGGUGAUGACUCUUGUGUUCAUCACUGUGAAGACAAAGAGGAUGAUGGUGAUAGUUGUGUUGAAUGUUGGGCAAAUUCUGAAGAGAACGACACAAAAGGAAAAAAUAAAAA
rnacentral:sRNA from 1 species